UCCCCGCGGCUGUGCCCGCUCCAAUCUCGGCCGCCGCCGGGCCCUCCCCGCCGGCCCCGGGCCGGGGGUGAAGGUGACCCGGGAGCGCUCCGGGCCGCGGCCGCGCUGCCCGCGGGCCCCGCGCAGCGCUGACAGCCCAGGCUGAGAGCAGGGCUGCUGCCCUGGCUGUGCCCAUGUCCCUUCUCCUCCCCUCGGAAAGGAUGAAUUGCCACAGAACUGGACAGAGCUUGAGAUGCCUCCACAUCAAACCAACCUAAGAGUACCAAGUUCCCAACAGAUCCCUCCUCCAGAUCAAUGCUGCCCAGGACUGAAGCCCUUGGAAGCCCAUCCCUGGAGCAGGAGCCACGUUUGCACAAACAGGCAAUUUGCACGUUAUGCAGCCUCCUGCCCUUUGAAGAUGCAGCAGAGCUGCUGUUGAAGCCAACAACAGCCAAGUCUCUGCAUCACUGGCAGGAUGUUGCUGCGAAGGUUUACGGGAUUGACUUCUCAGUGACUAAACCUAACGAUGAGAGCACAGGAGAGCUGACCUUGGAAAAUUAUCUCAUCCUGUUUAAAGUCACACAAAACCCUUGGCCAAAUCUCUUAAUAUAAAAUAUUUCACGUCA